GACGGAGGGGGCAAGCGUUGUUCGGAAUUAUUGGGCGUAAAGGGCUCGUAGGCGGACCGGUAAGUCUGGCGUGAAAUCUCCACCGCUCAACGGGGAGAGGCCGCUGGAAACUGCCGUGUCUUGAGUUUGGCAGAGGAGCGUGGAAUUCCGCAUGUAGCGGUGGAAUGCGUAGAUAUGCGGACGAACACCGGUGGCGAAGGCGGCGCUCUGGGCCAAAACUGACGCUGAGGAGCGAAAGCCAGGGGAGCAAACGGG
rnacentral:rRNA from 1 species